GAUGAACCAGGUGCUUGCACUUGGGGAUUAGUGGCGAACGGGUGAGUAACACGUGAGCAACCUGCCCCUGACUCUGGGAUAAGCGCUGGAAACGGCGUCUAAUACUGGAUAUGUGACGUGGCCGCAUGGUCUGCGUUUGGAAAGAUUUUUCGGUUGGGGAUGGGCUCGCGGCCUAUCAGCUUGUUGGUGAGGUAAUGGCUCACCAAGGCGUCGACGGGUAGCCGGCCUGAGAGGGUGACCGGCCACACUGGGACUGAGACACGGCCCAGACUCCUACGGGAGGCAGCAGUGGGGAAUAUUGCACAAUGGGCGGAAGCCUGAUGCAGCAACGCCGCGUGAGGGAUGACGGCCUUCGGGUUGUAAACCUCUUUUAGCAGGGAAGAAGCGAGAGUGACGGUACCUGCAGAAAAAGCGCCGGCUAACUACGUGCCAGCAGCCGCGGUAAUACGUAGGGCGCAAGCGUUAUCCGGAAUUAUUGGGCGUAAAGAGCUCGUAGGCGGUCUGUCGCGUCUGCUGUGAAAUCCCGAGGCUCAACCUCGGGCUUGCAGUGGGUACGGGCAGACUAGAGUGCGGUAGGGGAGAUUGGAAUUCCUGGUGUAGCGGUGGAAUGCGCAGAUAUCAGGAGGAACACCGAUGGCGAAGGCAGAUCUCUGGGCCGUAACUGACGCUGAGGAGCGAAAGGGUGGGGAGCAAACAGGCUUAGAUACCCUGGUAGUCCACCCCGUAAACGUUGGGAACUAGUUGUGGGGUCCUUUCCACGGAUUCCGUGACGCAGCUAACGCAUUAAGUUCCCCGCCUGGGGAGUACGGCCGCAAGGCU
rnacentral:rRNA from 1 species